UCAACCAAUCACCUUUUCCACCUCCUUUAUAAAUCCCAAAAACAGUUGGGCCAUUUUUCUCUCUGCCCAAUCAACUCCCUCCAUUCCAAUCCAACGCCACUAUCCCCAGCACAACAAAAACAAAAACAAAAAAGAAAAAGAAAAAGAAAAAAGGGAAGAAAACAAUUUCAACAAAGCUUGGAGGGACCAAGGUAUAUAGUUAGGGAAAACAACUAGCUAUACUGGAGGAAAAUAAAAAACUCAAGAGUCAGUCAGUCCCCCAAAACUGCAGAGAGAGGAAAACAUCUUUAGUCCAACUAGAGAGAGAGAGAGAGAGAGAGAGAGAGAGAGAGAGAGAAGAGGCACAACCACAAGAUAACAAAACAUUGCUAAUAAGCAACAACCCUAUUUUUCUUUUCUUUUCUCAUUUCAAGGCCAAAACCAAAAGCCUUGUUUUUCACUCUUCCAUCCAAAUUCCAACUCUCCAAGUUGCAAAGCAAAAACCCAUCAUAAAGCAAGCUCUCUCUCUCUCUCUCUCUCUCUCUCUCUCUCUGUUUCUUUCAGAGGCAGAGUGGUUGUGGAGGUGGUGGUGAGAGGUGACAAAAAACCCACCAAUGGAAUUCACCUCAAGGCCUCAAGAAAUCAGAGAGAAGCAACCAUAUUCAUAUUCUCCCAUAAACUCCCCCAGAAGCAAUGGCACCAACACAAACACAAAGACAAACACAAACAACAGUGUCUGCAGCAGCAACACCACCACCACCAACAACAACAACAAUAGCUCAGGGGUUCAAAUCCCCACAACCCCAAAGCUCACAACUCCCAGAUCUGACCCCAAUCCCUACCCAACAACCUUUGUCCAAGCAGACACCACAAACUUCAAACAUGUUGUCCAAAUGCUCACAGGCUCCUCUGAAACUGUAAGCCACCAAUCUUCCCCCAAACCAACCACAACCCAUCAUCACCAUCAUCCUCACAGCCAUCAAGAUCCAACCGUUUUGCCCUCCUCCAACAAAAGCUUCAACAUCCCACCAAUCAAAACAGCCCCUCCCAAAAAGCAAGGCUUCAAGCUCUAUGAGAGGAGGAGCACUAAUCUCAAAAACACCCUCAUGAUCAACACCUUGAUGCCCAAUUUUCCCCAUCAAGCAUCUGGGUUCUCGCCACGUCAUCAGGAGAUCCUGUCCCCGAGCUUGCUUGACUUCCCUUCCCUCACUCUCAGCCCAGUGACCCCGUUAAACGACGACCCGUUUGACAAGUCCUCUUCGUCGCCUUCUUUGGGGAAUUCUUCAUCGGAGGAAGAUAGAGCAAUUGCAGAGAAGGGGUUUUACUUGCACCCAUCUCCUAGAACGACGACAACUCCCAGAGACCCUGAGCCCAGGCUUUUGCCUUUGUUUCCAGUCACUUCGCCCAGAGUUUCUGGGUCUUCUUCUUGAUCAUGAGGAAGAGAGAGAGAGAGAUGUGUAGUAUUAUUACUGUGAGUGAGUUUGAUUACAAGGAUCAUCAGAAGAUUAAUGGGUUUUGGAUGAUUUUCAAUGACAGAAAAACUUGUAUGAAACGGGAAUAACACUGUUUUGUCAUCCCGACCAAUCACAGACUACCACGAAAAAGAUAUCACGCGCGGCACCGUGUCCCAGUUUCAUGUAAAUGUUUCGUCCCAUAGAGGAGGGAGAGAGGGAGGACCACAUUUCCCAUUCACCAAGGCAGUAUAUGAAACUUCCACCGACUCAUAAUAUCAUAUGGUCUUCUUCUGUCAGCUGUUGCAAAUUGUUGAGCUAAUGCAAUGUAGUACGAAUAUAUGAUGUUCUGGUGGAAUUGCCAUUGAUCUGAUAUUCAAAUGAUGUCAUUUUAUUUUGUUUUAUUGAUAAAAUAGCAAUAUUGGCAAUAAGUCACUUUCUCUUCUUAUGUAGACCAAGGACCAUGGGUACUUUGGUCUUAUUAUUGAUUUUUUUCCCCUUACCAGGAGAGAUUUUUGGGGAGAGGGAAGCAUGAUUUAUGAACCCCUAUAUUAUUGGUUAUGUUG